rnacentral:rRNA from 1 species
UAAACCUCUUUCAGUAGGGAAAGAAGCGAAAGUGACGGUACCUGCAGAAGAAGCGCCGGGCUAACUACGUGCCAGCAGCCGCGGUAAUACGUAGGGCGCAAGCGUUAUCCGGAAUUAUUGGGCGUAAAGAGCUCGUAGGCGGUUUGUCGCGUCUGCCGUGAAAGUCCGGGGCUCAACCCCGGAUCUGCGGUGGGUACGGGCAGACUAGAGUGAUGUAGGGGAGACUGGAAUUCCUGGUGUAGCGGUGAAAUGCGCAGAUAUCAGGAGGAACACCGAUGGCGAAGGCAGGUCUCUGGGCAUUAACUGACGCUGAGGAGCGAAAGCAUGGGGAGCGAACAGGAUUAGAUACCCUGGUAGUCCAUGCCGUAAACGUUGGGCACUAGAUGUGGGGGACAUUCCACGUUUUCCGCGUCGUAGCUAACGCAUUAAGUGCCCCGCCUGGGGAGUACGGCCGCAAGGCUAAAACUCAAAGGAAUUGACGGGGGCCCGCACAAGCGGCGGAGCAUGCGGAUUAAUUCGAUGCAACGCGAAGAACCUUACCAAGGCUUGACAUGGGCCGGAUCGCCGCAGAAAUGUGGUUUCCCCUUUGGGGCCGGUUCACAGGUGGUGCAUGGUUGUCGUCAGCUCGUGUCGUGAGAUGUUGGGUUAAGUCCCGCAACGAGCGCAACCCUCGUUCCAUGUUGCCAGCACGUAGUGGUGGGGACUCAUGGGAGACUGCCGGGGUCAACUCGGAGGAAGGUGGGGACGACGUCAAAUCAUCAUGCCCCUUAUGUCUUGGGCUUCACGCAUGCUACAAUGGCCGGUACAAUGGGUUGCGAUACUGUGAGGUGGAGCUAAUCCCAAAAAGCCGGUCUCAGUUCGGAUUGGGGUCUGCAACUCGACCCCAU